rnacentral:misc_RNA from 1 species
GAUGAAGAACGUAGUGAAAUGCGAUAAGUAAUGUGAAUUGCAGAUUUCAGUGAAUCAUCGAAUCUUUGAACGCACAUUGCGCCCCCUGGUAUUCCGGGGGGCAUGCCUGUUCGAGCGUCAUUUCACCACUCAAGCCUCGCUUGGUAUUGGGCAACGCGGUCCGCCGCGUGCCUCAAAUCGACCGGCUGGGUCUUCUGUCCCCUAAGCGUUGUGGAAACUAUUCGCUAAAGGGUGUUCGGGAGGCUACGCCGUAAAACAACCCCAUUUCUAAGGUUGACCUCGGAUCAGGUAGGGAUACCCGCUGAACUUAAGCAUAUCAAUAAGCGGAGGA